AGGGCGAACGCUGGCGGCAGGCUUAACACAUGCAAGUCGAGCGGGCGUAGCAAUACGUCAGCGGCAGACGGGUGAGUAACGCGUGGGAACGUACCUUUUGGUUCGGAACAACACAGGGAAACUUGUGCUAAAUACCGGAUAAGCCCUUACGGGGAAAGAUUUAUCGCCGAAAGAUCGGCCCGCGUCUGAUUAGCUAGUUGGUGAGGUAACGGCUCACCAAGGCGACGAUCAGUAGCUGGUCUGAGAGGAUGAUCAGCCACAUUGGGACUGAGACACGGCCCAAACUCCUACGGGAGGCAGCAGUGGGGAAUAUGGACAAUGGCGCAAGCCUGAUCCAGCCAUGCCGCGUGAGUGAUGAAGGCCCUAGGGUUGUAAAGCUCUUUGUGCGGAAGAUAAUGACGGUACCGCAAGAAUAAGCCCGGCUAACUUCGCGCCAGCAGCCGC
rnacentral:rRNA from 1 species